rnacentral:rRNA from 1 species
UACAGAGGUCUCAAGCGUUGUUCGGAUUUAUUGGGCGUAAAGAGCGUGUAGGCGGCCAGGUAGGUCCGUUGUGAAAACUGGAGGCUUAACCUCCAGCUGUCGAUGGAAACCAUCUGGCUAGAGUCCGGAAGAGGAGAGUGGAAUUCCUGGUGUAGCGGUGAAAUGCGCAGAUAUCAGGAAGAACACCCGUGGCGAAGGCGGCUCUCUGGGACGGUACUGACGCUGAGACGCGAAAGCGUGGGGAGCAAACAGG